rnacentral:rRNA from 1 species
CACCAGACUCCUACGGGAGGCAGCAGUGGGGAAUAUUGCACAAUGGGGGAAACCCUGAUGCAGCAACGCCGCGUGAAGGAAGACGGUUUUCGGAUUGUAAACUUCUGUUCUUAGUGAAGAAGAAUGACGGUAGCUAAGGAGCAAGCCACGGCUAACUACGUGCCAGCAGCCGCGGUAAUACGUAGGGGGCAAGCGUUAUCCGGAUUUACUGGGUGUAAAGGGAGCGUAGACGGCAAUACAAGUCGGAAGUGAAAUACCCGGGCUCAACCUGGGAACUGCUUUGGAAACUGUAUGGCUGGAGUGCUGGAGAGGUAAGCGGAAUUCCUAGUGUAGCGGUGAAAUGCGUAGAUAUUAGGAGGAACACCAGUGGCGAAGGCGGCUUACUGGACAGUAACUGACGUUGAGGCUCGAAAGCGUGGGGAGCAAACAGGAUUAGAUACCCCAGUA